rnacentral:rRNA from 1 species
AGUGAACGCUGGCGGUAGGCCUAACACAUGCAAGUCGAACGGCAGCACAGUAAGAGCUUGCUCUUACGGGUGGCGAGUGGCGGACGGGUGAGGAAUACAUCGGAAUCUACUUUUUCGUAGGGGAUAACGCAGGGAAACUUACGCUAAUACCGCAUACGACCUACGGGUGAAAGCAGGGGAUCUUCGGACCUUGCGCGAUUGAAUGAGCCGAUGUCGGAUUAGCUAGUUGGCGGGGUAAGGCCCAACAAGGGCCCGAUCCGUAGCUGGUCUGAGGGGAUGAUCAGACACACUGGAACUGAGACACAGUCCAGACUCCGACAGGAGGCAGCAGUGGAGAAUAUUGGACAAUGGGCGCAAGCCUGAUCCAGCCAUACCGCGUGGGUGAAGAAGGCCUUCGGGUUGUAGAGCCCUUUUGUUGGGAGAGAAAAGCAGCAGGUUAAUACCCCGCUGUUCUGACGGUACCCAAAGAAUAAGCUCCGGCUAACUUCGUG